UGGGGAAUCUUGGACAAUGGGGGCAACCCUGAUCCAGCCAUGCCGCGUGAGUGAUGAAGGCCUUAGGGUCGUAAAGCUCUUUCGCCUGUGAAGAUAAUGACGGUAGCAGGUAAAGAAACCCCGGCUAACUCCGUGCCAGCAGCCGCGGUAAUACGGAGGGGGUUAGCGUUGUUCGGAAUUACUGGGCGUAAAGCGCACGUAGGCGGACCAGAAAGUUGGGGGUGAAAUCCCGGGGGCUCAACCCCGGAACUGCCUCCAAAACUAUUGGUCUAGAGUUCGAGAGAGGUGAGUGGAAUUCCAAGUGUAGAGGUGAAAUUCGUAGAUAUUUGGAGGAACACCAGUGGCGAAGGCGGCUCACUGGCUCGAUACUGACGCUGAGGUGCGAAAGUGUGGGGAGCAAACAGGAUUAGAUACCCUGGGUAGUCCACACCGUAAAACGAUGAAUGCCAGUCGUCGGGUAGCAUGCUAUUCGGUGACACACCUAACGGAUUAAGCAUUCCGCCUGGGGAGUACGG
rnacentral:rRNA from 1 species